rnacentral:tRNA from 1 species
GGAUUGUGGCUCAGUGGUAGAGCGCUCGCCUAGCAUAGGGAGACCCGGAGUUCGAUCCUCAGCACCA